UUCAACCCCGGCGUUGAAAUUUCAACCCUGCUUCAGCUAGCAGGGUUGAAAUUUCAACCCCGGGGGUUGAA
rnacentral:miRNA from 1 species